rnacentral:rRNA from 1 species
CCUACGGGAGGCUGCAGUAGGGAAUAUUGGACAAUGGGCGAAAGCCUGAUCCAGCCAUGCCGCGUGAUAGAUGAAGGCCCUCUGGGUUGUAAAUCUCUUUUAUCUGGGAAGAAACAAUCUUAUUCUUAAGAUCUUGACGGUACCAGAUGAAUAAGCACCGGCUAACUCCGUGCCAGCAGCCGCGGUAAUACGGAGGGUGCAAGCGUUAUCCGGAUUCACUGGGUUUAAGGGGUGCGUAGACGGGAUGGUAGAAAGCUCCGAGCUGAACUUGGAAACUGCCAUUGAUACUGCCAGUCUUGAAUGUCGUAGAGGUAAGCGGAAUGUUGCAUGUAGCGGUGAAAUGCUUAGAGAUGGUACAGAACACCAAUUGCGAAGGCAGCUUACUAUGCGAGGAUUGACGCUGAGGCACGAAAGCGUGGGGAGCAAACAGGGUUAGAUACCCCAGUAGUC